GCGGGUAUAGCUCAGUGGUAGAGCACAUACUUAGCAUGUAUAAGAUCCUGGGUUCUAUCCCCAGUACCUCCA
rnacentral:tRNA from 1 species